rnacentral:rRNA from 1 species
UACGUAGGGUGCAAGCGUUAAUCGGAAUUACUGGGCGUAAAGCGUGCGCAGGCGGUUUGGUAAGACAGAUGUGAAAUCCCCGGGCUUAACCUGGGAAUUGCAUUUGUGACUGCCCGGCUAGAGUGUGUCAGAGGGGGGUAGAAUUCCACGUGUAGCAGUGAAAUGCGUAGAGAUGUGGAGGAAUACCGAUGGCGAAGGCAGCCCCCUGGGUCAAGAUUGACGCUCAUGCACGAAAGCGUGGGGAGCAAACAGG